rnacentral:rRNA from 1 species
UUAGGAAGUAGCCUUUUGUUUUAGUUUUUUAUUUUAAUCAAUUUUGUUAAUUAUAGUUUAUUAGUAGAGUGGUUGAAUUUUGAAAUAUUUAUUUAAAUUUUUAUAAGAAGAAUUUAUUUUUUGUACCUUGUGUAUCAGGGUUGAUAAAUUGAUCAUUUUGUAUAGAAUUUUCCCGAAUCAGGAAGGGCUAGGAAUUUAUUAUUUUUGUUGUUGAAUUAACUUUAUUAAUUUAUUUUUAGAAAUGAAACGUUAUUCGUUUCCUGUUAUAUCUGGUUUCCUGAGAAAUGAAUUAAAUUCUUUCUACAUUAAAUUUUAUUCUUAAAUUUUAAGUUAAAGUUGUUGUUGAUUAACAUCAGAUGGGAUGAGCUUUCUGUUGGAUUUUUAAAAGGUUUUAUGUUUUGUUAGUACGUAUGAUUAAUAUUUUCAAUCUUUAGAAUGAUUUUACAGUUGACUUUCUUUGGUUUGUUUAUUUUUAUUUUCUUUAAGUUUUUUAUCAGGAUAUUUAAUUUAACUUUUUUGUGUAAUUAAUAAUGAUUAAAUUAGUAAAUUUUGUUUAUUUGUUUUGUAAGUUUCGUUUUUGGUUAGUUAAAGGAACUCGGCAAAUCUAUUUUCCGCCUGUUUAUUAAAAACAUGUCCUUUUGAAUUUAAUUUAAGGUCUAAUCUGCUCAAUGAGGAUUUAAAUUGCCGCGGUAUCUUGACCGUGCGAAGGUAGCAUAAUAAUUAGUUUCUUUAUUGGAAGCUGGAAUGAAUGAUUGGACGAGAAAAUUGCUGUCUCUAGUUAAUUUGGUUUUGAAUUUAACUUUUAAGUAAAAAGGCUUAAAUUUUUCUAAAAGACGAGAAGACCCUAUAGAGUUUAACAUUUAAUUUUCUGUUAAGAAUUUUUUGGAAUUUAUCUUUUUGAUGUCAUUAUUUGUUUAGUUGGGGUGACUAGAAGAUUUAUUUAACUCUUCUAAUAAUUAGUUACUUAUUAGUAAGUUUUUAUUCUGAUUUUUUCAAGUUUAAUAUAAAUUACCUUAGGGAUAACAGCGUAAUUCCUCUUUAGAGUUCGUAUUGGGGGAGGAGUUUGCGACCUCGAUGUUGGAUUAAAAUUAAUAUCGGGCGCAGUAGCUUGAUUAUUAGGUCUGUUCGACCUUUAAAAUUUUACAUGAUCUGAGUUUAAACCGGUGUGAGCCAGGUUGGUUUCUAUCUUUAGUAUAUUGUUACGCUUUAGUACGAAAGGACCGGGUGUUAAAUAAAUUAUUUUUGGGUGAAUAUUAUUAUUGCUUUGGCAGAUUAGUGCAA